GUUCCGGUAGCUCAGUUUGGAUAGAGCAGCAGCCUCCUAAGCUGAAGGUCGGGGGUUCAAAUCCCCUCCGGGACA
rnacentral:tRNA from 1 species